rnacentral:rRNA from 1 species
UUUUAUUAUUUUUAGAAAUAAAUUUAUUUUAAUGGAUUACUUAUGUGUAUUUUUAUUUUAUCGCAGGGUUUGGUUUUAUUUAAUUUUUGUUUUAGUUUUUAGAUAUCAGAUGGCGUGCCAGCAGUUGCGGUUAUACGAUUUUCUUUCUAAAUUUUUUAUUGAGAAAAGUUUCUUUUUAAUUAACUGUAAAAUUUGAGGUGAAAUUCUUUUUUUAUUUUUAUGUUUUGUUUUUCUUUUGAAUUUUUUUUUAAACAAGGAUUAGAUACCCUUUUAUUAUAUUUAUGAGUAUUAAAAGUUUUUCUUUAAACUCAAUAUUUUUGGCGGUUCAAUUUCUUUUUGGAGGGGCUUGUUUUUUAAUCGAUAAUCCACGUUUAAUUUUUCUUUUAUUUUUAAUUUGUAUACCUCUGUUUGGGUGAUUUUUUGUUUUUUUAUCUUUUAAAUUUGUAUUUUUAAUUCAAGUCAAGGUGCAGUUUAUAUUUUAGCAUUAAUUAGCCACUUUAAGAUUUAAUUUUUUAAGUUUAUUUUAUCUUUGGAUUCAUUAGUAAUCUUUAAAUAUAAUUUUAUUUUGAAUUAGUUAAUUUGAAUGUACAUAUCGCCCGUCACUCUUUUUAUAGAUAAGUCGUAACAAAGUAGUAGUAUUGGAAAAUGCUUCUUGUUUG